rnacentral:misc_RNA from 1 species
GUAUAGAUUUACUGACUCGAAAGUCAAUAAGAGACAUUCUGUGACUUCAAAUAGUGUGUAUAAAAACAUAGCCUUUGAAGAGCAAACAGGGAAAAGGGCAAAGCCCAAGCCCCAAAACCGCAUUGACUGCGAAGCACUUCAAAGACUACAAAAGGUGCACAAGAGAUAGAUAAAUAAUAUGAUGCAAGCACAUGCCCAAUAAGGCCAGCUCAACACCAAGUUAUUCAAUAAUGAUCCUUCCGCAGGUUCACCUACGGAAA